rnacentral:rRNA from 1 species
GUAGGUGGCAAGCGUUGUCCGGAAUUAUUGGGCGUAAAGCGCGCGCAGGGCGGUUCUUUAAGUCUGAUGUGAAAGCCCACGGCUCAACCGUGGAGGGUCAUUGGAAACUGGAGAACUUGAGUACAGAAGGGGAAAGCGGAAUUCCACGUGUAGCGGUGAAAUGCGUAGGGAUGUGGAGGAACACCAGUGGCGAAGGCGGCUUUCUGGUCUGUAACUGACGCUGAGGCGCGAAAGCGUGGGGAGCAAACAGGAUUAGAUACCCUGGUAGUCCACGCCGUAAACGAUGAGUGCUAAGUGUUAGGGGGUUUCCGCCCCUUAGUGCUGCAGCUAACGCAUUAAGCACUCCGCCUGGGGAGUACGGCCGCAAGGCUG